rnacentral:rRNA from 1 species
GAUGAACGCUGGCGGUAUGCUUAACACAUGCAAGUCGAACGGACUCUUCGGAGUUAGUGGCGGUCGGGUGGGUAACGCGUGAUAAUCUGGCUUUGGGUUCGGGACAACCACUGGAAACGGUGGCUAAUACCGGAUGUGCCGAGAGGUAAAAGAGAAAUUGCCUGAAGAUGAGCUCGCGUCUGAUUAGCUGGUUUGUGAGGUAAAGGCUCACAAAGGCAGCGAUCAGUAGCUGGUCUGAGUGGAAGACCAGACACACUGGGACUGAGACACGGCCCAGACUCCUACGGGAGGGGGGAGGGGGGAAUUUUCCGCAAGGGGCGAAAGCCUGACGGAGCAAUACCGCGUGAGGGAAGAAGGCUCUUGGGGUGUAAACCUCUUUUCUGAGGGAAGAACAAAAUGACGGUACCGAAGGAAUAAGCAUCGGCUAACUACGUG